ACAGAAAGCACAGCGAUGUUACCCAGCCGUGGCUCUCCCGCCCCAGUCAACUUUCAAGCCCUCUCCAGGAUCUGGCCCUGCCACCACGGGGACUGCUCCUCCAGCCCUCUCAACUCCUGCCGGCCUCCUCCUCCAUGCUCCUCCUGCAGGUGCACAUAGACCCCAAGGUCCUUACACCAGCUGCUCUCUCUGCCUGCUCUUCCCCAAGGUCCUCACAAACUCACUCCACCCUGUCACUCUCAACGCAAGGCCACCACCACAGACGAGUCUUUGUUUUCUUUUCAAACAGUCUUAUUAAGAUAUAAUUCACACACCAUACAACUCGCCCAUUUAAAAUGUAUAGUUCAAGGAUUUUAUUAAUAGUAUAUUCCCAGAGGGGUGCAACUGUCACCACUAUCUAUGUUUAGAAUAUUUUCAUCACUCAAAAAGAACCCCUCCCCAGCCCUGGAUCACCGCAAACCUACCUCCUGUCUCUAUAGAGUUGCCUGUUCUGGACAUUUCCUAGAAACAGGACCAUAAGCUCUGUGGUCUUUCGUGUCUGGCUUCUUUCACUUAGCAUGAUGUCCUCAAGGUUCACCUGUGCUGUAACACGUGCCAGAACUUCAUUCCUUUUUGUGGCUGAAUAAUAUUCCACACUAUGGACAGACCACAUUGUGUUUAUCUAUUCACCCACUGACGGCCACUGGGAGAGGCCCUUCUUGACCUCCCCAGACCAUGUGGCUCCCUCUCCCCUGAUCACUCCGUCAUCCCUCCCUGUUUUAUUUUCUUGGCACUGAUCCUUGCCUGAAGGCAUCUUCAUUUGUUUAUUUUCUCUUUAUCAUUUCUCUCUCACCUGAACAUCUAUCUGCUCCAGGAGGCCCACCUCACUCACUGCUGUAUCCCCAGGGUCUAGCCCGGGCCAGCAAACAAUAGGUGCUCAGCAAACUGCUUGCUGAUCAACAGAAGAAAGCCUCUUCCCGUGUGUCAGAGUGGCUCAUGCCCAUGCUGCCUUGCUGCUGGGCUCUGAGCUCUCGGCGACAAGUGCUGCCCUGCGGUGCUUGCCAAGAAGAGCCUCACCCACAACUCCGAUGCAAAAGUGAUCUUCCUGCCUGACCUGAGAGGGGCUGUGGAUUUAUCAGGGCACUGCCCUGUACCCAGAGCAAGGCCUUUGUCUGCCAGGGGCCCAGAGAACUACUGUAUCCCCACAGGCAUCUCACAGGCGGGGAAACAGAGGCCCAGGGAGGCUGCCUGUUAUACAAACAGCCAAUGCCUCAGCAGCACCUACUGCAGCCGGAGCAGGCUUCCGGGCCUCGUCUCAUGGAAGCUUCAGAACAUCUCUAAAAGUCACGUCCAAGGUAGGAAGGGGCUAAGCCCAGUUUUGAACUCAGGUCGGCCUGACUUCUGAGCCUGUGUGCUUCCCACUUCAUCACGUUAUCCUCCUAAGCCCCCACACUGAGACUCAGAGGACAAGAAGGGGGUGCCACAACCAUGCACCCUGCUGGAUGCCAAGCCAACAGAACCCAGUGAUGACCUGCCAAGAAGCCCGCCCAGCUGGCAUGGCUCCCCCCACUCUACAGGCCAGGAAACAAGCCCAGAGAGGUUUAGCAACUUUCCCGAGGGCUGCACAUCUCACAACCUACCGUUGUGGGCUCUAAACCCUGGGGUGCCCAGCUCCCAAGCUGUUCUGUCCAGGAUACAGCCUGCAGCCAGGAUCGUCCCUCUCAGAGUCCUCGGGCCAAAGUUCCAGAGACCCUUCUCCUGGCUCCUUGACUGCGGUCGCCAAACUCCUGGGCAGAGGGCCAGGGCUGGCAGGUCCACAGCUGCUCCACACACACCUCUUGCUUUUCCAGAUGUGAAUGGGACCCCGCCAGGGGCAACAGGCUCACUCGGAGGGGAAUCUGAAGACGCAAGUGGAAAACUAUGCGCUGUCCGAUCGCAACCCUCCAAUCUGUCCCUGUGGCUGCCGGCAGCUCCGCCUUGGGCCGCAGACCUGCUGACUCAGGGCUUCCCUGGCAGCCGAGGGGGCUGGGAUCUGCAGAGGGCCUGCUCCUGGCUGGCUAGCUGGUUGGGGCGUGGCCUUAGUCCUUUCGGGGGGCUCUCAACAGAAUGGGGCAGGGGUCAGGAGGGCAGAGUGCUUCUCGUGGAGCCCAAGGCCCAUCCUCCCCAGUUAACCACAGGGGCGCCUGGCAGUUACGGGUGCUAAGAGUGGGUUUGGGACAAACUCAGUGCCAAUUAUGGUGCCCACACCCACCCCACCACUCUCCUCUCAUUGGUGGUGAGGAGGCCACCCGCCAGUGAUCGUGACACCCCUGUGAAGCUACCUGCCCAUCACCACUUGACAGCCACAAACCCUCCCGUAAGGCCCCGCCCCACAGCCCUGUCAGGUGGCUGUGCCAUUAGAUGAGGAGACUGAGGCACAGACAGGCCAGUCUGCCAGGCUCUGUGAGGCGGUGCUGCUUCUCCUACAGACCAUGUGGGCAAACGGCAGCCAAGAGGGAGCGAGCGAAUCACCCUUGGACAGGGCACGGUGGGCCUCCCAGUGCUGAGCCCUCUGCAUUCUGUCAACAAGCCCUGAGGUUUCCAAAGUGCCAAUCCCUGGAAACCUUGAGACAGAACGGGACUCAGGAAAAUCCAGCUGUGGUCACAAGGAAAAGCACAUGGAGAGCUCACCAAAGUCCAGGACUCACCCGCUGCCUGGCCCAGCUCCCAAGUCACCCACCCAGGAGGUCUAUCCUGGGGUCUGGGGCAGGGGCAGGGGCAGGGGCAGGGGCAGGCAGCCGCUGACUCACUCCAGGGCUGAGCUCUGCCUCUCUCCUUUCCCACAGCCAGCCAGCAUCCUCAUCCCAAGAGAACACUUUAGCUCUCACUGUCUGCCCUGCUCCCUCAAACCUGCCCAGGCCCAAGGCCCGCCAUUGAGGCUGAGGCCCAGGGCCCCAGACACUCUCACCCAGCAGCAGAGACAACUAUGGCCACUGUAAUUAUGGUUUCUUAUUACAGUGAGAGUAAACUGCGUGGCUGGGUUUCCCUUUUCCCUUUGGCUGCCAGGAAACUUGGCAAUUUUUACCCCAACAGAAGAACCUCAGGACCCUGUAUAUCUCUGUUCUGUUCUGUUUUUCUACCGUAGCUCAUGACGUCCUAUUCUAAAUUGUGCUUUUUCCACUUCUGAUUCUUUUUUUUAGAGAUGAGGUCUUACUGUGUUGCUCAGACUGGAGUGCAGUGGCUAUUCACAAGCAUGAUCAUUGAACACUACCCUUGAACUGGGCUCAAGCAUUCCUCCUGCCUCAACCUCCUGAGUAGCUGGGACUAGAGACAUGCACCACCAUGCCUGGCUUCUGAUGUUUUUUAUUAACUAUUUUAUUGCACGUAUUUUCUGUAAGCGGUCACAAGUAUUUUGGGAAGGAAGGAAGAAAGGAAAGAAACAAGGAAAGGAGGAGAAAUAGAAGGAAGGCAAAAAGGAAGGAAGGAAUGUUUAUAAAGUUUAUACACCAGAGAGUGAGGGCAGAAAGAAAAAGGGACAAUCUUUCAAUCCCUUACCUGUUGCAAAUCCACCCCUUUAAAUAAAAAAAUCUGCCCUUAGGCGGUAUCCAAGUACAAA